UAACGAUGUCGACUUGGAGGUUGUGCCCUGAGGCGUGGCUUCGGAGCUAACGCGUUAAGUCGACCGCUGGGGAGUACGGCCGCAAGGUUAAAACUCAAAUGAAUUGACGGGGGCCCGCACAAGCGGUGGAGCAUGUGGUUUAAUUCGAUGCAACGCGAAGAACCUUACCUGGCCUUGACAUCCAGAGAACUUAGCAGAGAUGCUUUGGUGCCUUCGGGAACUCUGAGACAGGUGCUGCAUGGCUGUCGUCAGCUCGUGUUGUGAAAUGUUGGGUUAAGUCCCGCAACGAGCGCAACCCUUAUCCUUUGUUGCCAGCGGUUCGGCCGGGAACUCAAAGGAGACUGCCGGUGAUAAACCGGAGGAAGGUGGGGAUGACGUCAAGUCAUCAUGGCCCUUACGGCCAGGGCUACACACGUGCUACAAUGGCGCAUACAAAGAGAAGCGACCUCGCGAGAGCAAGCGGACCUCAUAAAGUGCGUCGUAGUCCGGAUUGGAGUCUGCAACUCGACUCCAUGAAGUCGGAAUCGCUAGUAAUCGUAGAUCAGAAUGCUACGGUGAAUACGUUCCCGGGCCUUGUACACACCGCCCGUCACACCAUGGGAGUGGGUUGCAAAAGAAGUAGGUAGCUUAACCUCCGGGAGGGCGCUUACCACUUUGUGAUUCAUGACUGGGGUGAAGUCGUAACAAGGUAACCAAGGGCGAAUUCUG
rnacentral:rRNA from 1 species